CCCAUUGAUGCCGCUCUCGCUGCUUUUUAAAAAGAUUUCAAAGGCAAGUUUUCUGUGAAAACGGAACAAAAACUUGCCCUGGAACAAUUCCUACAAAACAAUCAUGUGUUUGCCUUACAACCGACCAGCUCUGCAAAGCACGUCACCCGGAUUGUUGGUCUGAUUGCUUGAAGCACUAUCCAAUUGCGUUCAGAGUCAUUUGAACUAUGCCUUCGCCUCUUGUGCAGUAGAAAAUACAGAGUAGACUCCCCUGACUAAUGUUCCAUCUUAAAAGAUUGAGCUUGGUCUGGUGAUAGCCAGACUAAGCACUAUGGACAGGCA